UGCAGACAAGAAAAUGAGAAACAUACAUAUGGAACAAUUCUUCUUUCAUGGAAACGUUCGAUUCUCUACUCAUCAUUCAUCAUUGUCACGGUUUACUUCACCAGUGAUUGCAUCUCAAGUCGCUGUCGCUGUUCUGCUUCUUUCUCUCUGGCUUCUACUUCUCUUACAAGCUUAGGCAUGCUUGUUGAUUGCUGAUGCGGAAACACACCAAGCACACAAAAUCAAAAGCCACACUGUUCCUAGCAAAUGCUCAUCUAGAUAUGAGAUAACAAAGAUUAAUCCACACUAAGCCAACUUGAGGGGGAACCAAAAAGGGGUUGUGCAUGUGGUGUCAUCAAAGCUUCAUGGCA
rnacentral:lncRNA from 1 species